UUCCUCACCCGGAUCCUAAAACACGACCCGACUCUCCCUUCCUCUUUCUCUCUCGCGCGAACUCCCCGACGCCGACGCCUGCCUUAACGAUCACCGAUUCUCCCCUUUCCUCUCUCGGUGUCGCCGGCGAGGAGCAAAUCUUGGAGUGUGGAAGGAAAAGUGUUGGAUCCCUGAAUCCGUUGGUUUCGCCUGCUGUCGGAAGGGGAUCGAGGGCAUCACGAUUUGGAUCUGGCCAGCAUCGACCGAUUGGGGGAGGUAACGACCAUCGCUUCCUCCCGAUCCCCUUCUCUGUUAUCGACAAGGAACCGAUCGUGCCCUAGCUGUGAUCUUUGAGAAGCUAAGAUUGGUGUUUGAUUUCCGGCCACCACAGCUCGGUUGGAUCGAUCUCUUCAUCAGAUCUGUGAUUACCUCCGACGAUUGAAUGGUGAAGAGGACCUUGAUCUAUACGAGUAGCGUGACGUGGGGGUGGUUCUGUUGAUACGGGAUAUAUCUGGAGGCGGGUAGUAGGUAGGUGAUAUGGAGUUGCUUGGAGUAUGCUGCCAGUCGGUCCCUCUUCCCACGUUACAUCUGAGGAUUCUUAUCGGUUGUUAGUUUCUUACUAGUAGUAUUUCAUGUUUCAUGGAUUUGGUGUUGUUAGAUAGUACUAUGUUUUGAUACGUGUAUUGUGGACUUAUACUUGUGGUGUGUUUUGUGGACUUUCGCAUUUGUGGGUUUCAUAUUCAUUAUUCCGCUGUGCUUUUGAUAUA